rnacentral:lncRNA from 1 species
CCACCAUGUGAGGGUGCAGCAACAAAGUAUCAUCUAUGAAGCAGAGACCAGGUCCUCAUCAGACACUGAAUCGCUGGUGCCUUGAUGUUGGACAUCUCAGCUUCUAGAACUGAAUUGGGCUGUCUCUCUCUCUUUCUCUGGUUGCAUUUCACCAGCUAAGGAGUUGCAUUGGCUUCUGCUCUCCUCUCUUGCUCACCUACAUUGUGAGGUUGCUUCAGUGGCUCCAGCAAAUAGGGAGUGGAGAAUUGGAUUUCAUGAGGUUUGGACAUUCACCAGCAAAGAUAAUGGCGAAAGACGGGAAGAGGGCGUGGAGAGUGCAGGGGAGGGAUUAUAGUUGAGCUGGGUAAGGAGGGAAGUGGGGACAUGGGGAAGGGCACAGGGAAAAGGUGCUACAGGGAUGGCAGAUCCCAGAGGAGCUGAAAGAUUAUGGCUGUUGCAUAUUAGAGGAGUGAGUUGGGAAAACAGGAAGUGAUUGUGGGAGAAGGAGACGUUUGAAAGUUAGAUGACGUACAGAUGCACUGAGUGAUAUUGACGAGGUCCGGGGCCUAAUGCCCUGGGAAUGGGUGGUUGAGGGGAGUAGAGGCGUGGGUGGUUGAGGGGAGUGGAGGCUGUGAUCAUUAGAGAUGAGAUAGCCUGGGAAAGGAGAGGCCAGAAUAUUGAAAGAACCAUCUACAUAGAUACUGAAGUCAUCAAGAACUAUAGCAGGACAUCUGGUAGAGAGGGAGUGGUGAGAAGAGACAUGAGCCAAGAAUGAAGUCCUCACUGACCAAGAGGCUGUAGAUUACCAUGCCGAGAGCAGAGCAGCUGGUGGCUAGAAUUUAGCUAAUUGCAGCUACUGGUUAGGGACAGCGUAGAGCAGAGGUCUGCAAACUUUUUCUGGAAAAGACCAAAAAGCAAAUAUUGUAGGUUUUGCUGGUGAUAUAUGUGAUAGGCAGAAUAAUGCCUCCUCCAAAGAGGUCCACGUCCUAAUCCCCAAAACCUGUGAAUAUGUCCGUUACACGAUAAAAGGGAAUGAAGGUAGCAGAGGAAACUAAGCUUGUUAAUCAACCGGCCUUAAAAUAGGAAGUUUUAUUUUCCAUGGUUGGAGUGGCUCCAAGUUAGUCAUGAGGGUCCUUAAACAUGAAAGAGUGAAGCAGGAAAUUCCAGGGCAGAGCGAUGUGAUGUGGGGAAGGCCUGACUAGCCAUCACUGGCUUGAAAGACAGAAGGAGGCCACAAGCCUUGGAACACGGGCAGCCAAGACAGAUUCUCCCCAAAAGCCUCCAAAAAGGCUUGCAGCCUCUAAUACCUUCCUUUAAACCCAGCGAGACCCAUUUUGGCUCUGACCCCCGGAAAUAAGAUAAUUAUGCAUUGUUUUUAGCCACUAAGUUUGUGACAAUGUGUUACGGCAGCCAUUAGAAAUGAAGGCAUACAGUUUCUGUUGCAGCCCAACUCUGCUGCAGUAGCAAGAAGGCAGCAAUAGGCCAUAUGUAAAUGAAUGGGCAUGGCCAUGUUCCAAUAAAACUUUAUUUACAAAAACAGGCUGCAGGCCAAAUUCGGCAUGUUGCUCAUAAUUUGCCAACCCCAGUGAUAUGGUUUGGAUGUGUGUCCCCACCCAAAUCUAUCUCAUGUUGAAUUGUAAUCCCCAGUGUUGGAGGAGGGGCCUAGUUGGGGGUGGUAGGGUCAUGGGAAUGGACUUGCCCCUUGCUGUUCUUAUGAUAGUAAGAAAUCCGGUUGUUUAAAAGUAUGUAGCACCUCCCUCCCUCUCUUCCUCCUGCUACAGCCAUGUAAGACGUGCCUGCUUCCCCUUCCCCUUCCACCAUGAUUGAAAGAUUCCUGAGGCCUCCCCAGCGUAUAGCCUGUGGAACUGUGAGCCAAUUAAACCUCUUUUCUUUAUAAAUUACCCAGUCUCAGGUAGUUCUUUAUAGCAGUGCAAGAAUAGACUAACACACCCUGGAAUAUACGAUCUCUACAACAAAACACUGUAUGAUAUUUACAAAAAGAGGUGAGUCUUUAUGUAUUUAUUAAUCCAUACACAUUUAAUAGAUAAUAUUAAUACAUAUUUACUAAUACAUAAAGACUCACCUCUUUUUAUAAAUCUCAUAUAGUGAGAUUAAUAAUAUGGACCUAUCUUCAAGAUAUUUUUAAGGGGGAAAGAAAGGUGUAGUGAAGAGUGCUUAUUCUUAUUUGUAUAAAAAACAUAUGUAGCUUAAUACAGAUUCACACACGUAACUAUACAUGCAUAUACAAUUUCUGGAAGGAUACACAAGAAAUAUUUCAGUUGCUCUUCUGAAGAAGGGGACUGUAGGUCUGGGGUGGAGGAAGGGCUUAUGUUUCAUUGUACACUUUUUGUGCUGUUGAAAUCUUUGUGUCUGAACCAUGUACAUGCACUUUUUUUCUGUUAAGUAAUAAAAACGUUAACAAAGCACCUAUUCAAAAGCGACAG